AUCAGCAGGAAUCCUAUGGAAUGGAUCCCAUCAGUGAGCAGGGAGGAUGCUCUGGACCAGCAACAGCCAACAGAACCCCUCAGUGUUCAUCCUGCAGAAGUCAGUGCUGCUCCUGCCUCUUUCAACCCUACAAGUGUCUUGCAGAGAUGUUUUAGCAUUUGAAGAGCUGCGUGUUGUAGGAUUUCUGUUGUCCCUGCUCUUAUGAUCUCAUCCCAUCCCGUAGAUGAAUGGAAAAACUGAUCUGGCUAACGUCUUCUUUCCCAAAGUUUGAAGCCUAAGGGAUGGUGCUACUUGCAGAGGGACCCGCAGGGACACCGUGGGAUUACUGGUAGGAGGAUGGUGUGGGGCUGCCCACAGCACAUCUCCUCUGGCACUGCCUGGGCAGGGAACCCUGCAGUCCAGCACAACCCAGCUCCCACCACCACAUCAGCCUCUUGCACUGGCUCACUCUGAGCUGUCGCUAAUGAGGAUGGUGCUCAUCAUGUGAUCACGCCUUUGGGCAAGGGCGGUGGUGCUGCUAAUUGGCUUCUCUGGCUGCGGUUUCCUUAGGAAACAAGGUUAAAGCAACUGAGCUCAAAAAUGUACCUCCCGGAGGAAUGCACUUCAAUAUUUCUUCCCCUGUAAAUGGAAACAGCUCUAUGCCUGACACCAGCUCCUUUCUAUCACCAGGUGGAACCAAAGGAUGUAGGUGCAUCUCUGCUAUGUUCUCUCUUGGUGUGUUGGUCCUGUGGCCCAGCCCUGGAUCAACACAUUUUCUAUCUAAUG